AGCUAUGUAGACCCUUAGGAGCUUGUCAUGCGGUUAAAAUCAAGAUUCACUUGCACGUUUACUCAUACAUGCUGCCUCUACUCUGGAAGUACACAUCCACAUACAUCCACUCAUUUCCAUCUCCAGAUUCACCCAAAAUUAUUCUACUCCUAUCCAAGAGAGAAUAGCCAAAAACAUUAUUCUAUCUCUGUUAUUCCCCGUGAAAUAAAUGCUCGAGAUAUUUUGGUUACUACCACUUGCUACAUUAUUCUAGGAGGGUGAGUACUCUGAAAGAAAGAAGUGAAUACGAGGAAAUAAAAAGGGGCAAGUGCCUAGAACCUCGAAGAAAAAGAAAAAGUGAGACGAGACGUAAAAAUGGACAAGUGUCUGACAAUAGAAUUAGGGGUACAAGAUACCCACCUGAGAGAAAAGAAAAAAAAAUAUAGAGCAUCUCAUUCCCCUCAAAAAGCUUCAAAGUGCAAGAAAGGUAUGUAUCCCCUCAAAAGAGCAAACGUAGAAUUAGAAUUUCACCAUUGUUUUCACCAUUAUCACCAUCAUCACCAUACACCAUUCAUUCGCCACACAUGCACAUCUUGAUUUGACUUAUUGACUUGUUUCUCUGGAUCCAUGGUUUGACUAUGCAAUAAAUGUCUUGUAAGUAUGUAUUAGCUGUCUCCCACCUAUGAGCUCCAGGUAUCAAACCUUAUUAGAAUAGGGUGAGAGAGAAGGCAAUAUCAUUAUGCCUCAUACCACAAAUACUACAUACUUUGAGAGAAGGCGUAUAUCAUCACUGCCUUGGUAAGGAUCCAGAAAUACCACAAAAGAGAGAUUUGAGAGAGUCAUACAAGGAAUCUCUGAGUUUUAUUUUGAAAAUCUACAAAAAAAACUCCAGAGAUAUAGUUGAUCAAAGAACAAGAGACAUGGUGCUUGACUUGACCGUUCUAUCUUUUAACUGCUCAAGACACAAGUGAUGGUUGCAAGCCCCAUGGUGGAAGGUAAUAUGAGUAAGUUUAAAUCUUAACAGUUUACCUUAAUGUAGAGAUGAGAUCUUGUUUGAAUGCAUGAGUACCUUUAAGGCAUAAAACCACUGCAAAAACUCUUGAGUCCAUCCUUGCUCAGGGAUGAGCAAGAGGUAAGCUUGGGGGAGUUGUUGACGGUCCUUAAGUACCAAAUAUAAUCAUCAAAUAAAUAAAGAAAAGGAUCCAAAUGCAACCAACACCUAGACUUAGGGUUUUAUCUGAUAGAAUUCCACGAGUUUUGGUGUUUGUCUAUUUCUGCAGGGGUUAUCAGGAAAUAUGGAGGAAAGGCCCACAUGUCGGGUUUACAUAGAAAUAUUAAUGUGUCGCGCAAUUUUCUAUCAUCUAGAAGACUCCAGAAGCCACGGGAACGAAUGGGAGGCCGAACGGGCCCGGGGGCAGGGCGCCCGCCCUGGAGUUUCAACCAAUCACGCACAAUCUCGCGGAUUAUGCUCCACCGACCUAAAGGACCAAGAAUAACCGUUCAAUCAAUGUCGGUUUGAUCCGACGGCCCAGGUUCACUUGAGGGGACUAUAUAAGCAGACCCCCUGGCCCCUGGAAGGAUAACCUUUCCUCUAAAUAGACUUAGGGCUUAGCAUCCAGUGUGAGAGUAGACUAGAUCUACUAGAUUGAGAGAGAUAGAACUUAGUGUAGUUCUAAAUAGACUUAGGUGUAGAUCGGAGGAAGCCCGGCCUGUCGGUGUCUACUCCGAGGUUGUACCUGCGGGAUCAAGUUCUCCUAAACCGAGGCUUGUGUUGACACUUACUAACACCACUUGAAUACUAGGUUGUCUCCCCAGCAUGGUGCCAGAGUGUACAAAGGUAUUUAUGAAUGUAAAGGCUCUCUAGAAAAUAAUCUAUUCUAUCCACAAGCACACAGAUAAAACACCUCAUUGUAGCAUUUCACCAGAAAAGUAUUCCAGGUAUCGUUAUUUAUAAUUUUGCUUACGAGGACAAGGGGGGUGAAGAUAAAAUCUAUCAAGGCAUAGACUAGAGAUAAACUUGCAAGAACAUGAUUACUAAUGAGGAACUCGUCACACAGUCACUUACUUUGGCAGGGGGUAAACCAUAAAGAUAAUGAUAAUGAAUUAUAAGUUCAUGGGUAAAUAACACAACGUUUAGAAAAUAGACUACUCCUCAUAUAUGUAAGGUGACGUCGGAUUAGCUAGAGAAUAGAUUCUAAGUUAUCUACUAUCUACUAAGUCACAAUCUACUCUAGUUAUCUACAAGAUCAUAUAUAGUAUAAAAGACUCUUCAUUCAUGUAUAAGGAACAUUGCUAAAGUAAAUCACAGCAUCGCAAGACUUACUCCGCAAUACAAAUUCUGCCUGUCCUAUCAACGGAGGGUGGACUAUAUAAGAAUCAACGAAGCUAUCACUAUCGUGAACUACCACACGACCCGGCCAAUAGGAUACAUUUGCAGGUAAAUAACAUCUAAGCACCACGCCCACAUGUGAUCUACCACUUAACUCCCACGUGUCAAGAGCUAAGCGCUUUGCAAACUUAUACAUAAACUCAUUAGAGAAAUAAUGCAAUUAGAACAAAGUAUUAGAGAAAUAUUUGAAAUAAUGCCAAUCUUUAUUAACGAAGAUCCGAAUCCAGAGCGUAGUGCUCUACUUCUCUAAUUCCUAUCUAAUCAAUCCUCUAAACUUGAAGGAUUAGGGAGUAGCUAAUUCUAAUUCUCUGUGGGAGAGAAGUCCUAAAACCCUAACUUUGAUGGCUACCUCUGAUAAUGAUUUUCUCCUCUCUCCCUAGGGUGGAGAGGCCUUGAUUAAAUAGUCCUUUCAACUGAAUUUGGGCCGUCGGAUCCAACCGACAUUGAUCGCACGGUUUUUCUUGAUCCUUUAGGUCGGUGGAGCACGAUCCAAGAGUUUGGUUCUGAUUGGCCCCGAGGCCAGGGCGGGCGCCUUGCCCCCGAGCCCGUCCGGUCUCCCGUUCGUUCCCGUGGCUUCUGGACUCUUCUAGAUUAAGGAAAAUUGCGCGGCACGUAAUUAUCUCGUUGUAAACAUGACAUGUGGGCCUUCUCUCCAUAUUUUCUGAUAACCCCCUGCAGAAAUAGACAAACACCAGAGCUCGUGGAAUUCUGUCAGAUAAAACCCUAAUUCUAGAUGUUUGGUGCGUAUUGAUCCUUUUCCAUGUUUAGUUGAUGAUUAAAUUUAGUACUUAAGGACCGUCAACAAACUCCCCAAGCUUACCCUUUGCUCGUCUCUGAGCAAACAGCUAAACUCAGAUGGAUCAGGAGUUUCUUCGAUGUUUUCUUUCCUGACAGGCAACCAUGCUUUCAUAUAUAAUUCUUCCAGAUUAGAGUGAAGUGUCAAUGAGCUUAGUACCUACACUUAAGUCUUAAGUAAUCGAAAGAAAAAAUAAUUAAGUCAAGCACUAUCCCUCCUGUCUAUACUUCACUUUUGUUCCAGAGUUUUUCAUAAGUUUUCAAAAUAAAACUCAGAGUUCCUAGCAAUGAUUCUCUCAAGUCUCUCUACAUGUGGUAUUUGUGGAUCCUUACCAAAAAUUUCACUUACCUAUAGCUAAUGGAAUGUUUAAGUGGAGCUCAUUGGAGUGAAAAACAGCUCAUACAUAUGUUGUCUAAUCGAGCCAUGGAUCCAAAGGACCUCAGCAUAUAAUUAAAUCAAGAUGUGCAUGUGUGGUGGAGUAAAUGAUAGUGAUAGUGAAAAUAUAUACGUAAUGAUAAAACUUACUUCUCAUUGCUCCUCAUAUUGCUAUCUCUCCUCUUCUUUGAUCUUUGCUUUGGGAGAACAUGGGCUAUCUUUUCUCUUCUUUUUUUUCAGGUGGGUAGUAGAUACCCCUAAUUCUACCGUCGGACACUUGUCAAUUUUUUCCACUCAAGUGGGCAUCAUUAUACUCCUAAUUCUACUCUGGACACUUGUCCAUUUUUACCUCUCGUCUCACUCUGUUUCUUUCUUUUUCGAGGUUCCGGGUACUUUCCCCUUUUUAUUUCCUCGUAUAUUUUUGCAUAACCCAUGCCUCUUCUGCAUUGAAUCAUUUUAGAGAGAGAAUAACAAUACUUGGGACAGUGAGUGAUAAUAAUAUUUUUAGCAAUUUUAAUGAAUGGUGGUUGAUGGUGUAGUAUAUGUGUGCCAGUGAAUAUCUUAAUUUAACCACAUGAAAAGCUCCUAAGGGUCUACACAGCUCGAUCAAACUCAAUGUGAAUAUAGUAAAAGAUGUUAUAGCAAGUAUGGCUGUGGUAGGAAGUUUGUUAUGCCAGGAACUCGUCAUGUGAUAUGUAAGUUUUCAAAAUAAAUCUCCAGAACUUAGUGUAGUAGGAACAAGAUAAAUAGUAGCUCAAACUUUAUAUCAUGCCUUUCUCUUACCUAGACUUUAGUUUUAUGUUUCCCAUAGAUAGUAAUUUCAGUUUUAGUAAUUUCUGGAAGAACUCUAAUAUAAAAGCUAGGUACUUGAAAGUAAGCAAACAGAGCAACUGUUCAUCAUUUCCAUCAUGCAUCUUUUUGGUCUUUUUAUUUUUUCUAGAGAUUAACACUUAGCAGAUAAAUAAAACACACUUAUCUACACACUCUUUUUAUUUUGUUUUCAUGUUUAUAAAAUGCAGUAAUUUAAAGUAAGAAAAUAUUUAUUGGGUUUUCUAAGUUUUUCUUUUUAAGAUUAAAUAUUAAAAUAAAUAAGAAGAGCAAAAUAAAAACUUACUUGAUAAAACGGGGAGGAACUCCCCCAAGCUGGAUGUGGUUGUCGGUCUUACCCAAUGUUCCAGAAUCGCAUCAUGGUGGUGAUGUUGUCGUUCAUUGUCGUGGCGUCUUGUCUCAGUUCUUGUACUGCAGUGGCGUGUUCCUGGUUCCAUUUUUGUUGCUGUUCCAAGAGUCGUCCAUGUUCCGCUUGCGUAUUCUGGAUGUUGAGGAGGGUGUUGUCGGUACGGGUGAAGAAAGCGUCGGCCUCUUGGUAGUAGUCGUUCGUGAAAGCAUAAGAGGCGUCGGAGUAUCGUCCUCCAUCAAAUUGGGGCGGAGGUCUGGAUCCUAAAGCUCCAUAUGGAUCAGUGGAGUACCUGCCCGUAUGGAAAGGCGGGUUUGUCCACUGGUGAUCUUAGCUCUCCAGCCAUGUCUCCUGUGUUGGCUCUUGUGGUUGAGCAUGUCGAACCCAUGGGUCUCGAAGGACUUGGGGGUUGUAGUCACAAUAAUGCAGGUGCCCUGCUUCUUCGGGCCCAGGAUCAGCUCCAUACCAGGUGCGUUCUCGAUGGGUGGUCAUCCUUUCAGAUGCCACUCGUUGUGGAGCUCUCUGGUUUACCGGUGUCACUGCAAUUUCAAUCAAGUAAUUUUGAACAACAUAGUGGCAAAGGUUUGGGUUAGGUAACCGAAUCUUGCCUUUGUUAUCGUAUAACAUAUACAUUAUAUUCCCCUCUUUUUUCAACAUCCGAGCUUGCCUAAAUGUGUCAUAGCCAUGAUAAAUCCGUAACUCAUCUAUGAAUUCCAAUGAUGAGUUUUCUAGUAAAUGAAGACUAGAGGCUAGACGAGUGAUAAGUGAAGUACACCCUACAGGUCCCUGAAGACUAGGUAUACUAAGCCAAUGAGAAACCAAAAGUGUAACAGGUAAAGUGGGAACUUUAUUUAUGGCAGCAUAUAGAAGUUGUAAAUCUCCUACUCUUACUUUUCUAAUAUCAUCAUGAUGGAAAAGAUUGUACCCGAGCCAUUUGUGGAACAUCCUAAGAGUGGGGUGUUCAAUGUCACUGGUUCGGGCUUGACUAUAAAAAUCAUCUCUAGAUAUCUCUCUCCAGAACUGGUGCCUCUCAAAAUUAGGUAGGUCGGAGUCAAUGUUCAAGAUGCAUCUUGAAGAGAAACUGAGAUGGUCGCUCAAUUCUCUCCAAGAUAACAUAAUGUCCUGUUUGAACAUCCGAAAAACAAUUCCCCUCAUAAUAUUGUAAAGUGCAAAGAAAUUCAAGGGUGAGAAGACGGGAACCCAGCUCAGUUAUGUUCCAAAAAUUUGUCCAACCUAACAUCUGGAAAAUUAAGUCGAAUUCAGUAUCCAUACCUAUUUCUUGUAGCAAGAUUGGAUCAAGAGUAGGUGUGUGAAUGAAAUCUUUGUUCUUUAGCUGCUGGUAAACUUCCUUUUCCCUGCGGGUCUUCAGUCCAAGGUCUCCUAUCUUGAGAAGGACCUUGACUUGUUGAUCAGAUGAAGAUGACGGAGCUUGUGUGGGCGUCGGGUCGAUGCUCAUCUCUGAUGGGUGCGAGGAGUGUCGGGAUGAACUCCUUGUACCUAUGUUCUUGAGGGCCUUCCCUGUGUUCUUCACCUUCUUGAACAUCCUGUAGAUAAAAGUUGACACACACACAACUAGUGGAAAAUGUGAGAGAAAAUGUUAGUGGUCAGCUGUCCGAAAUGUCGGUAGUCUAGGGGUUAGUCGUUCAAGACAAGUUUUUAUUUUGGCAGCACCUCCCCCUAAACAACUUUUACUUCCGCUUUGGACAGCGGGAUCACUACUUACUAGGUGAACCUCACUCUCUUACUCAGAGACUACCAAUCUCUCUUCCACUCUUCUCUUCCUCUCUACUCUCCUUCUCAAUUCACUAUAAGAGCUCCUUCUCUGGAAACUAAAACUUGCGUGGUUUUCUGGAAUACUUGUGUGAAGAAGAUGGAGGCAGGAGGUGGCAAUUUAUAGGAGGAAGGGGGGACAGGGCGGGCGCCCUCUAUAGGUGGGCGGGCGCCCACUUUUGGUGGCCAUCCUUGCUUCCCUUUCUCCACUCCCUCCUUUGCUUAGUCUUUAAGACAAAAAAUAAUUCAAUGGUGGUGGUUGGUCGGUGGAAAAGUGCUGGUGAGUGGAGAUAUGUUGGUGGAUCAAAUAAUGUGAUGGGAUGUGUGUGAGGUGUGGUGUAUGACAUGUGGGACCCAAGGAGUGUGGGUCAUGCUUCUAGAAGGUUGCUAUAAUUAAAUAUAAUGCAGAAAAAUCUAUGAGAAUUGAAACAUAUUGAAAUGAUAAAAAAUAUUUUUGUGCCUCCACAAUAAUUAAUAAAUAUGGGUUGUUACACACCAUAAAUAUUAUUUAUAUGGGGCUUUUCAUUAUUAUAAUAAUGCUAUGAAUAAAUAUGACUAAUGCAGAAUUAAUUAUGCAAGAAUUUAAACAAUGUGGAUAAAUACCGAUUUACCUCCCGGCGAGGGUUUGGGAUUUUUAGGUCCUCCAAGCUGGACCUCCAAAUCUUUUAAUCUUCUGAAUUACCUUCCUCCGGAGAUGGUGUCUCUAGUGGUUCUUCUACAUGAACUUCCUUCACUGUAGAGUCUCUCUCUGGUCUGGGCUUGAAUGUGAAGUAUUCUUCUUUUCCCUUUAUGUUGAACUUGAUUUCUCCCUUCCCGACAUCAAUGUGGGCAUUGGCAGUGCUCAGAAAUGGCCUUCCAAGGAUGAUGGAUAAUUUUGAGUCAGGACUCAUGUCCAGUACCACGAAGUCUACUGGCACAAGGAAAUCUCUGAUUUUGACUGGAAUGUUUUCGGCGAUGCCCAACGGGUGUCGAACCGAUUGAUCUGCUAAUUGUAGGCACAUUGAUGUUGGUUUUAGGGUCGCAUGCUCAAACUUCUCGUAGACUGAUGCUGGGAUCACACUGACACUUGCUUCGAGAUCACAAAGUGCAUUAUUGAAGUGUUGGUUUCCGAUCGAGCAAUCAAUAGUGGGGCAUCCUGGAUCCUUUUUCUUCCUUGGUGGUUUAUUGAGGAUGGCCGCACUACAUUCUUCUGUCAGCUUGAUGACCUCAGUGGUGGGCAGUGGUCUCUUCUUGUUAAGAAUAUCUCUGAUGUACUUUGCAUAUGUGGGUACCUGCAUGGCAUCAAGCAGAGGUAUGUUGACAUAUAAUUUCUGAAUGACCUCUAAAAACUUACCAAACUGCUCAUCUGACUGCAGUCCUCUGUUUCUUCUAGGAAAUGGCAAAUAGUUGGUGUCGUAAAAAUCUUUCCUCAUUUCUCCAGUUCUUGGUGGUUGUAGCAGAUCUUCUGCUUCAACUGGGCUUUCUUCUUCUAUCACUGCUGGUUGCACUAGUGCUGAUGUUCUUUGUUUCUCUUUUGGGUAUAGGGGAUCCCUAGUGGCUUUGCCUCCUCUAGUAGUUAUGUUCUUUACCUGCUCAAUGUUAGUAGCAACAGGCAGUGCAGCAGCUAGCUUUAUUAAUUUAAGCUCUACCUUUUUAUUAAGAGUGUUUUGCUCAUGAAAGGCAGUUAAUAGAAAAUCCAUUUUAUUGUGUAUAUCUUUUAGAGACGAUUCAUUUGUGCCUAGCCUUUGUUUAACUUCAUCAUUAGUUUUGGUUUGUUGAGCAAUUAUCUCUUUUAAUGAAAGUUGCUUGAAAGUAUUACCUGAAUUCAUACCUUUGCUAUUGGGUUGACUUGAAUUAGGUUGAUAUUUGUAUGCAAUGGCUCUUUGAUCUUCUUUAAACUUGGCCCUCUGGUCAAUCCAAUGGAGCAAAUUUUCCAUCUUGGUUGAUAAUGCAUUUACUUCUUCUGGUAAUUCUUCAGUUUGAUGACAUUGUUGAGCUUCAUCUUGGAACUAGCUUUGGUUUUCUGCUAUCCUAUCCAAAAGUAUCUCUGAUCUUCCAAUUAUAAGCUCCAAGAAUGAUCCUUCAGCAGAUGCAUCUAGGCACUCACGAGCCUUCUGGGUUAAUCCAUGGUAGAAGGUCUGCAUAAGUAACCAUGUGGCCAUUCCAUGGUGAGGACAAUCUGAUAUGUAUCCUUGAAAAUGCUCCCAUGCUUCUGAAAUGGUUUCUGUCUUCUGCUGUUGGAAACUGACAAUAUUUCCUCUUAAGGCAGUUGUUCUGCCUAUAGGGAAAAACUUUGAUAGAAAGGCAUCUGACAAGUUCGUCUAGUUGUUGAUGUUAUCUUGAUGAGUGUAGAACCACUUCCUCGCUUUCCCUUCUAGUGAGAAUGGAAAAAGGCGAAGCAGUAUGACGUCUUUGUCGACUCCAUUGAUGUGGAUUGUGCUUCCAAUCUCUAAGAAAUUUUGCAAGUGUGCACUAGCAUCUUCAUGUGCCUUUCCACUGAAUUGUGUAGCUUGCACCAAAUUGAUGAGGCUUGACUUGAGCUCAAACUCGGGUGCUCCUUCUUCUACUGCAAAUCUUGGACCAGUUGGAAUGUUCUCAAAACUUGGAGCAGAGAAUUCUUGCAAGGUCUUUUGUGCCAUAGCUUCAGCAAUUGGUAGCUAGCUUCUUCUUUCUUUCUUGAUUGCUUUAGUUCUGAUGAUGAAGAGUUGAAUGUACCCAAAGUCAAUCCUGAUAUACCCUGUAUAAAAAUGUAAACAUAGAAAAACAAUAUGGUGAACCUGCCAAAGCAGAGGUGCCUUGUUAUGAUUUCUCACUUAGUAGCUGUUUUAUGCAAUUAUUUCUCUAUAGUCUAGUCUAAUAUUUUAUAUGAAUAACAUUGACUGAUUUCUUGACUUUUCUUACCCUUCCUAUAUGUUUCCCUUUUUAUGUGUUUUCCUUUUUGUGUUCCCCGGAAACGGCGCCAGAAAUGCUUGUUGACACUUACUAACACCACAUGAAUACUAGGUUGUCAUCCCCAACAUGGUGCUAGAGUGUACAAAGGUAUUUAUGAAUCUAAAGGCUCUCUAAAAAAUAAUCUAUUCUAUCCGCAAGCACACAGAUAAAAUACCUUAUUGUAGCAUUUCACCAGGACCAGGUAUCGUUAUUUAUAAUUUUGCUUACGAGGAAAAGGGGGGUGAAGAUAAAAUCUAUCAAGGCAUAGACUAGAGAUAAACUUGCAAGAACAUGAUUACUAAUGAGGAACUCGUCACACAGUCACUUACUUUGGCAGGGGGUAAACCAUAAAGAUAAUGAUAAUGAAUUAUAAGUUCAUGGGUAAAUAACACAGCGAUUAGAAAAUAGACUACUCCUCAUAUAUGUAAGGUGACGUCGGAUUAGCUAGAGAAUGGAUUUGAAGUUAUCUACUAUCUACUAAGUCACAAUCUACUCUAGUUAUCUACAAGAUCAUAUAUAGUAUGAAAGACUCUUCAUUCAUGUAUAAGAAAAAUUGCUAAAGUAAAUCAGAGCAUCGCAAGACUUACUCCGCAAUACAAAUUCUGUCUGUCCUAUCAACGGAGGGUGGACUAUAUAAGAAUCAACGAAGCUGUCACUAUCGCGAACUACCACACGACCCGACCAAUAGGAUACAUUUAAAGGUAAAUAACAUCUAAGCACCACGCCCACAUGUGAUCUACCACUUAACUCCCACAUGUCAAGAGCUAAGCGCUUUGCAAACUUAUACAUAAACUCAUUAUCAAUUAUAACUAUAUCAAAUAUAGAACUAGAGCAAACUUAGAGCAUAAUAAAUAGAGACAUAAUGCAAUUAGAACAAAGUAUUAGAGAAAGAUAUGAAAUAAUACCAAUCUUUAUUAACGAAGAUCCGAAUCCAGAGCGUAGUGCUCUACUUAUCUAAUUCCUAUCUAAUCAAUCCUCUAAACUUGAAGGAUUAGGGAGUAGCUAAUUCUAAUUCUCUGUGGGAGAGAAGUCCUAAAACCCUAACUUUGAUGGCUACCUCUGAUAAUGAUUUUCUGCUCUCUCCCUGGGGUGGAGAGGCCUUGAUUAUAUAGUCCUUUCAACUGAAUUUGGGCCAUCGGAUCAAACCGACAUUGAUCGCACGGUUUUCCUUGAUCCUUUAUGUAACAGAACCGACCAAAUUAUAAGAGAUUAAGCCUAAUAGUGACCAUUUGCAUAGUCGAACUAUCACGCUUAAGCCCAUACAAUCCCGGUAGUCCGUGAAAUCUCGAUGGAUUUCAAACCACACAUCACAUAACAGCCAAGAUCGUAAUAAGUUUACCGGUCGCCAUCCACAAGUACAUCCAGAUUACAACAUUCAUAAAAUACAUCGGAGUGCUUAAAGUUAUUACAAACCAAGUUCUUCAAGUUGCGGAAGCUUCAUAGUUUGAAAUUACAACACACACGAUAAGUCUGAUACAGUGCCAUAGUUCGGUCAUUCCCACAAAAGCAAAAGAAGAGACGGAGUGACCAUCGCCCUUGGUCUAGUCAUCACCCAUAGUUGGGUACAGACAGAGGAUGCAAUAACCAUAGUACAUUUGACCAUCUGCAAAACAACAUGGGAAUAGAACCCUGAGUACGAGAAGGUACUCAGCUAGACUUACCCGUCAUAAACUUAAAAUAAAGACUCAUCAAGGAUCAUGAAGGCUAUAUAGUGGGAUAACUGACGACCAUUUUGCAAAACCGCAGUAUUUCGCUAACACAACCUACAUAAGUCUUUCUUCUUUUAGUUGGCUCAAGUUGAAAGUAUCAUUACCUAUCGUCUAGGUUUGCAUCUGCACUAUUACAAGCAAGUAGGAGACUAUGAUAGUACCUCAUCAUAGUAUUUCUUAAAACUAUUCAUCAUUAUAACCCAAGUGUUCCAUAGUCCUUACUACGAGGACAGGGCUCAUGUCAAGUGCUCACUAUCCAGGAGCGAUGGCGAUUCGAAUCGAUUUCUAACCAGCUGGCGAAUUUAUUCCCCACACAAACCACACUCACUGAUCAAGUGAGCUACAGGUCACCGUGUUGCACUAUCCAGGACCAAUUCGCAGGUUCGACAGGCACCGCCCGUACCCGAGGACCGUUCCGGCGACCGAGGUAUCCAAGGUAUACCAAGGUUGCGCGCCGCGCCCUCGUCGUUCUCCUCAACCAUCACCAAUACAGCGCGUACAUCGGGCCGAUUCCCGGCCCGGAUAGUGCUCAGGCUUCGCGGUCGGAACGACUUAUCCUUCCAGCUAAAUGUGGGGCAUGCGUUCAACAUGACAAGAGGGCCAUCAACGAUCGGUCCUUAAUCGACACAGGCAGGGGCUCUAUGGGCAACCCACCAUAAGACCCUGCCCGGUCUCCAAUUACAGUUCACACUUGGUUAUUUCUUUCCCCAAGCAACCACUGCUUAAUCAAGCAGGUAUCCACCUAUAUCUCGCAAGUGACAGGACAUCACCCGACUUCUACCGGACUAAGCAAGCUAAGCAUAGACUCCGCGCCUAUCUACAUAGGACAAGGUAGAUAAACGAGUAGGGAUAACAAGGAGUACAUAUGCAGCAACGGUAUCAGGCAACUCCUAUCACUUAAUAUGCAAUACAAUAGAACAAGUAUAACACUUUAUAUAAGUUAGCGAGAAUAGGGAGACUUAGAAUGCUCCGGGGCUUGCCUUUCUCAAAGGUGCUGGGUCGGUGAUCCGGACACUCUUGCAAUUCCUCUCCGGUUUCCUGUGCUUCCGGAGGUUCCUGCUCCUGUAUCUCCUCGGGUUCCUCGGGUCCCACUUCGUUCUCCUGCGAGCCUGUAUGAUGCAUAUAUGCUCAUGAGUGGAGUGCUAGAUGCCCGAGUGGAUGCUUGUAUGAGAAAGUACCAAAGGACCAUGACAUGAUGCAUGGAUGAUACACUUGGUCAUGUUCAUUACAAUGUAUGCAACAUCAUCCAAGAACAGGCACUUGGAUUAAGCAUCUAUUGCAUUCUCUUCUACAAUUAUUUUUCAAAUGAAAUCAGCAACCUACAUGAUGCUUCAAAGAUACACCAAACCCAACUUAGUCCAUUCAACUUACAUACACAACCAUUCAUAAUUUUCUUUAUUCAUUUCUAAGCCCAUUAAAAAUCACAUGCAAUUCUGUUCAUCUAUAAAUUCCAGAAAAAUUACAGGAGACUACUAGUUAAUCAUAAAGUCUACUGUAAAUUUUUCAUAAUUUUUGGUUACUUAUUUUGAGCCACAAAAAUCACAAGAUUAAUGGAUAAGGCAAGUAUAAUCACCCUACUGUGAUAUAAGUGUCAAACAACAGAUUUCAUAUUUUUACAAUUUAUCUAAUAUCAUAAGAAACACCCACAAAAUUUUCCAGAUUUAUUGCAUGACCCAUUUAAUUAUUAAAAAUCAUAAAGCACUGCCAUGCAAGCAUUUAAAUUACCAUAAAUUCAUUUAUACACCAAAUAAUAUGUAACAAUAUUUUCUCAGUGAUUAAACACACAUGCAGAGCCAGCAAAACAAGUUUUACAUUUUUCUGAACCAUAUUUUAUUUACUAUGCAUUUUCCAAGUUUAGGGAAAACAUGGAUUAAUUAUAUUCUUACAGGAAAGUUACUCAAACAUGACAUGCAAUCAUACUAGGCUAUAGAUCUGGAAAUAAGGAACACACCAAAAUUUAUUUCACUAUUUUUGGAGCUAUAUUCAUCAAGAUAUGGAUUUUUGAACAUUUAAAUCAUUUCCUGGAAAAACUUUUAAAACGGAAAACCACCUAAAACACUAAACGCACCCGGAUCCAUUCCCUCGGAGUCACUGACAGGCGGGACACGCGAGUCAGAGGACCCCACCUGUCAUCCACCCCGUGACCCCGCGGCCAAAGAUCGACCGGAAUCUCGCCGCCGGUGAGGUUUCCGGCGACACCGUGAGCACCUACGGCUUCGCGCGAACGAGACGAGUCCAGCCGUACCCUCUUUGGCACCGGACGAGCACCGGAACUACCUCGCCGUCGUGAAUGGCGGACGCGGCGGCGCUGCUCGCCGUGGUCCGACCGUUUCACGGCGGUAGAGCGUGAGCUAGUGACGGGAAAAGGUGCGCGAGGUCAAGGCGGACCCAAAGCACCUACGAGCGCAAGCAGAGACAGAGAGGAGAGGGAGAACCGCGCGAGCCGAGAGGUCGCCGGAGCUCCGACUUACUCCGGUGAGCUCUAGCGGACACGCAGGGCUUACCGAGCACGGAAGAGCGCAAGCACGCGACGCGGAAGGACGAGGCGGAGCCGGUGGUGGUCGCGAAGGGGAAGGAGAGGGCCGGAGCUGGCCGGGAGAGGAGCUCCGAGCCGUCGGCGGCUAUGGCGUGCGGCGGAGCGGCGAGCGCUGCGCGAGAGCGAGCAGAGAGGCGAGAGCGAGCGGUGGAGGGCGCAAAUGGGAGCGGGGGCUUCGGCGGGCGCGUCUAGGGGCUCCUGGUGGCCGACCAGGGCGUCUCCACGCCGUCGCAUACCCGCCACGCGGCGGCCAGGCUCUGCCGGCGCGCCACGGCGGCACGGCGAGGCCGUCCGCGCGCGCGGACGCGGGCGCGAGCGCGAGGAGGGGGAAGGGGAAGGCGCGGGCGGGCCAGGCCGACUUCGGCCAGCGGGCCAGAAGCGAGGCCGCGGCCUGCUAGCGCCCCCUUUCCCUUUUCUAUUUUUUUUUUUUUAAUUUCUUUUCUCAAAUCCUCUUCCAAAAGCAUUUUGACCAUUUUGAAAUCAUUUUCACCAUUUUCACCCAAAAGCAAAGUGGUGCCAAACUAAAAGCUCUACAACUUUGCUUUAAUAGGUAAGACCAAAUUCUAAAUAGAAUUUGAAUUACAAAUUAAAACUUAGUUCUAGGUUUUUAAAUAAAGUUAUUUUGGGAUAUUUUGUAUAAAUUCCAUUUCUCAAUUUCCAUAGCUCCAAAAAUUGCACAAAAAUGUUCUUAAUUCUUCUUACACAUAAACCAACCUAGUUUGAAUAUUUCACAAUUUUUGAAGCAAGCACCACAUUUUUAACAUAUUUAAAACUUAUGAAAUGAUGCACAUAAAAUCAUAUUCUUAGAAGAAUAACAUGCUCAUGAUGCUUAUGAUUGAUGAGAGUGCUUAUGCAUGACUUUGAUGAGACUAAGUGCAUGCUUAACACCUAGGGUGUUACAGCCCUUCCCCCCUUAGGGAAAUCUCGUCCCGAGAUUUUGGGUUACUAACCAUUUCUUGUGAAAUUUUGGAUAAACUGUUUUUAAGUAAUCCUCUGUUUCCCAAGUGGCAUCCCUAUCGUCAUGAUGACUCCACACCACUUUAUAAGUUCUGACAACUUUGUUUCGAGUUACUCGCUCCUUGGUAUCCACAAUCCCCACUGGCUGCUCCUUAUACUCUAGGUCUGCUUUUAUCUUGAUCCCUCGAGGUUCAAUUCUUUGCUCAGGCACUUUCAAACAUUUCCGUAGUUGCGACACAUGGAAGACCGGAAAGAUCGAGCUCAUCUCUUCAGGUAACUGAAUCUUAUAGGCCACUGGGCCUUUCCUCUCUAGCACUUGGUACGGUCCCACAUAUCUGGGUGCAAGCUUGCUUCGAACUCGGAAACGUUGAACUUUCUUCAUUGGCGUAACCUUGAGGUACACAUAGUCACCUAUGUUGAAUUCAAGUGGCCUUCUUCUCUUAUCCGCAUAACUCUUUUGUCGUGACUGUGCCGCUUGCAUAUGCUGCUGUAUGAUAUGCACCUUUUUCUCGGCAUCAUUCACAAAGUCGAUACCAUAGUAUCUUCUUUCACCAGGUUCAACCCAGUUUAACGGAGUUCUACAUCUUCGACCAUACAGAGCUUCAAACGGGGCCAUCUUGAUGCUCUCUUGAUAACUAUUAUUGUAGGAGAAUUCAGCCAGCGGUAACCACGACUCCCAUGAUCCCUUGGAUGAUAACACACAGGCCCUCAGCAUGUCUUCUAACACUUGAUUUAGCCUCUCGGUUUGACCUGAAGUCUGGGGAUGAUACGCCGUGCUUCUUAUCAGACUGGUCCCCAAGCUCUUAUGCAUGCGCUCCCAGAAGUGAGCGGUGAACUGCGGUCCUCUAUCUGAUAUGAUUGUCUUGGGAAUACCAUGCAACUUGACAAUCUCAGCCAUAUAUAUAUCGGCAUACUCAGGAGGUCGGUAACGAGUCUUCACAGGGAUGAAAUGGGCCGAUUUGGUCAAUCGAUCUAUGAUUACCCAAAUCGAGUCAUUCCCCUUCCUGGUUGUCGGUAAACCCGUGAUAAAGUCCAUACUGACCUCUUCCCAUUUCCACUCCGGAACUGAUAACGGUUGCAACAGACCUGCAGGUUUCAUAUGGAUGGCCUUAACCCUGCAACACGUGUCACAACGGGCCACAUAAGCUGCUAUUUCUUUCUUCAUCUUGGUCCACCAAAAGUGGGGCCUUAGAUCUUGAUACAUUUUGCUACUGCCAGGAUGAAUAGAAAGCUUAGAGAGAUGGGCUUCAUCCAUGAUGCGAUUCUUCAACUCCCGAUCUUUCGGGACCACUAACCGCUGUUGAAACCACAGUACCCCCUUCUCAUCAACCCGAAACUGAGUCCUUGGGUCAUCUUUGAUCUUUUCUUUGAUAUGGAAGAUACCCUUGUCUGUUUCCUGACCUUCAAUGACUUGACUCUCGAGUGAACAACUGAGUUGUAUAUGACAUAAGACCUCAGGAUGCAUGAGAUUGAACCCAUCUUCAAACAACGGUUGAACCACUUGACAGUGUGGUUUACGACUUAGAGCAUCUGCUACUACAUUAGCCUUGCCUGGAUGAUAGUGAACUUCCAGGUCAUAGUCCUUGAUUAGCUCUAACCACCGUCGUUGCCUCAUAUUCAGCUCAGACUGCGUGAAGAUGUACUUCAAGCUCUUAUGAUCGGUAUAAAUGUGACACUUAUUUCCCAGCAGAUAAUGUCUCCAAAUCUUCAAAGCAUGCACCACAGCUGCUAACUCGAGGUCGUGCGUUGGGUAAUUGACUUCAUGCUUUCUCAACUGUCGGGAAGCAUAAGCUAUCACCCUACCAUCUUGCAUCAACACACACCCCAGGCCACUCUUCGAUGCGUCACAAAACACAUCAAAAGGCUUCUCUAUAUUAGGUUGUGCCAGAACGGGAGCAGUGGUUAGCAACUUUCGCAAGGUGCGGAAGGCUAACUCACACUCUUCCGUCCAGACAAACUUAUGGUCCUUUUGUAGCAAACUUGUCAUUGACUUAGCAAUCUUGGAGAAGUCAGGUAUAAAACGACGAUAAUACCCGGCCAGACCAAGAAAACUUCUAACUUCCGAGACCGAAGUUGGUGCCUUCCAGUCCAUGACUUCCUGCACUUUUGAUGGAUCCACAGCAAUUCCUUCUUCAGACAGAAUGUGCCCUAGGAAAGGAACUUUCUUUAACCAGAACUCACACUUGCUGAACUUGGCAUAUAACUGAUGCUCUCGUAACCGUGUCAGCACGAUUCUCAGAUGUUCGGCGUGAUCUUGCUCAUUUUCUGAAUACACCAGGAUAUCGUCGAUAAACACCACAACAAACUUAUCCAAUUCAGGCAUAAAGACUGAAUUCAUCAGAUACAUAAAGUAUGCAGGAGCAUUCGUCAACCCAAAGGACAUGACAAGAUACUCAUACAACCCAUAUCUGGUGGAAAAAGCAGUCUUCGGGAUAUCUUGCGGACGAAUCUUGAUUUGGUGAUACCCAGAUCUCAAAUCUAUCUUAGAAAACACUCUUGCCUUGGAUAACUGAUCAAACAGGAUAUCAAUCCUUGGCAAGGGAUACUUAUUUUUGAUUGUCACUGCAUUGAGUGGACGAUAGUCCACGCACAUGCGCAACGACUGAUCCUUCUUUUUCACAAACAACGCUGGACAACCCCAUUCCGACGAGCUUGGCCGGAUGAACCCUUUAUCCAGCAACUCUUUUAGUUGAUUCUUCAACUCAGCGAGUUCAUUUGGGGGCAUCCGAUACGGCCUUCUAGAUAUUGGUGUUGUACCUGGUAUCAACUCGAUUGCAAACUCUACCUCCCUAUCUGGGGGAAGUCCUGGUAAAUCCUCAGGAAACACAUCAGGGAACUCACAUACCACGGGUAUGUGUUCUAGAGGGACUACCUAUACUGCACAUGAAAGACUGGCGAAGUCCAACCGUCUAGGUAGCUUGACCUGAAGCACCCCCUUCCCUUGCGGGUCUCUAAGGGAAAGAGUUCUAUUCCCGGUAUCUAUAACCGCGCCCCAAUCAGUCAUCUUGUUCAUUCCAAUGAUGACAUCCAAAACCAGUCCUGGCAUGACCACAAGAUUUACACGGAACCUCCGACCACUGAUAUCCAAGGUAACUCCUGUUACCGUUUUAUUAGUCAACACAUCGGCUCCAGCUGAGCUGAUGCGAUAGCCAUAACCUAACUCAGUAACUGGCUGAUCAUGCUUUUGUGCAAAUGCUUGGCUCAUGAAUGAAUGCGAUGAUCCAGAAUCAAACAAAACAACUGCAAGAUGUUGGUUGACAGGAAACAUACCAGCUGUUACCGGUUCUCCUUCCGGAAUCUCCUCGAUCGAGGCAUGGUGCACACGAGCUGGAUAGGUUGGCUGCUGCCUUUUGGGGUAGGGACAUUCCUUAGCAAAGUGCCCCAUCUUGUGGCAGUUAUAGCAUGGACCCUUGGGCGCAUUGUUGGCGGCAGGUGCUGCAGCUUGAAUUGCCUUUGGCUUGGCAGGGGCUAUCGCCACCUUGUACGGCUUCUGUUGUGUUGGAUGCCCGGUGUUCCUUCUCUGCGGCGGUCGGAACCUAGUACCCGGGGUAGGAGGACGAUACUGCUGUCGCCCUGCCACUGGUGCCCUGGACUGAGAUGAUCCGGCUUCAAAAGCCCUCUUACGAGACUUGGAUGCACUGUAGUUGUUGUUAUUGUUCUCUUGGGUCAGACAGUCGCUGAUAUAGGCAUUGAAAGUAGCCCUGGCCCCUGUACCCAUGGUCUUCAGCAUCUUUGGAUUCAAACCUCUCUGGAAACUAGCAAUCUUCUUAGCCUCCGUGUUUACAAACUCAGGGGCAUAGCGAGCGAGAUUGUUGAAAGCGUGUAGAUACUCCUUCACAGACUUCGUCCCUUGGGACAGCCUCAUGAACUCCCCAACCUUCAUUUCAACCACACCAGGAGGAAUGUAAUUUCCCCGGAAAGCGGUGGUGAAGCGGUUCCAAGUGAUUGGGGUCCCUUCUGGGUAGGUGGUAUGGUGAUGGGACCACCAAAUCCCAGCGGGCCCUUGUAACUGAUGUGCCGCAUAUUCAGCCUUGAGUUCUUCUGUCAUUCGGAGAAGACGAAACUUCUGCUCCAUGGUGUUGAUCCACUCAUCUGCUUCGAGCGGUUCCAAGGCCUCCUUAAAGAUUGGUGGCUUGGUAUCCAUGAAGUCCUUGAACGAACUGUGCUGGUUGACCUCUCGGCCACCCUGAUUAUCCCCACGACGGGUAUUGUCAGCUAUGUUGCGCAAAGCUUCUUCCAUGUUGCGCUGCAUCUGCUCCAUGUUGCGUUGGCUUCCUAGAAACUGCGCGAAAAACACAUCCGCAGUGUACGGGGGAGGUGGUGGUGGUGUUGGCGCUCGGUCCUCAUUCCGUUGAGCCCCAUUUCCGGAUGUACCUGCUCCAAGACCCGGGUUGCCGUUACCCCCGCCACGUGUUUGUACCAUCUGCAUACGCCAAUGAUAAGCAAUCGUUAGGAGUUGCCAUCAACCGGUAGAAAAUGUGUAAAAUCGUGCCAUACUGAAUUUACUGAGGGAAUAAAUUCACACAAUAAUGAAGGCACAACCACUCAUCAUCCACGCACAACAUCACUAACAGAUUACUUAACAUUCACGCAACAAGGUUCGCGUACAUCCAACUUGCCAGCAUACAUACACUGGACUUUCAGCAUCAACUCAUAAAGUCUUACACAGCCCAGAUCCACAAGUACAUGACAUGUCAUGCAACAUACAUCACAAAAGAGGAAAGACUAGCUCUAGAGCCCUAGCAUCUAGUCGCUAUGAUCACUGUCCAUGCCAGAGCCAUCCUCAUCCUCGUCACCACUAGCAGCUGCUCCUAUCUCGGGAUCCGCGUCCAUCUCGUCCUCAGAGUCUAGCUCUGCUGCUCCAGGCAGGUGGUGAGGGUGGAGCUGGUUAUGCAGCUGGUGGAUCUCCUCAUGCAAGUUCUCAUUGUACUCCUCGGCAUUAGCUAGCUGCUGCUCUAGCUCCAGCUGUCGGGCUCUCAAAGUGUCCUCCUCGUGCCAGGCUUCAUUCCUCUGUCCAAGCACAUGGACUAGCAUGCGCUCGCAGUUCCUAUGAGCAGUAGUCACCCUGUCCUUCUGCUCCCGCACUGCAAGCAGGUCCUGACUCAGCUCACUAUUCUUCUGGACUGCCUGGUCUCUCUCUCUGGUCACACAAGCUAACUCUGCCUGUAGCCUCUCAACCUCAGAGUCAAACUCACGCUGCAACUGACGCUUCUCAUCCUGGACGGUGAGAAGAGACCCAGACAAGCGACCCAAACAACGCUCCAGGCCUCCAUAGGUCUUCAUCAACGCGUACAUGGCACUCAUAGCUGCACUGUCACUGUGCUGGUCCUCAUCCGCACUCCUCUCUAGAGCAUUCACCUCGGACUGAUCCCACACCGAAGAGUAAGGGUCACCCCGGGGAAACACCCCAGCGAAGGCGUGGGCCAGCUCCUGUGGAAACCUCUCCAUGAGGUCCCUCAGAACUGCGAAAGCUGCCCUGCUGGCACCGUGGAAAGGCGUGACACCUCGGGACUCGUACACCCAACCGCCCCAAGCAGGGUCUCCUCCACUGGUAGGGACAACUGCCUCGAUCCCCACCAGGGUCUCAUCACCAAGCGGCUCCUUAUCCCAAUAGUAGCGAGGCUCCCUUCCUUCGGGAUACCCCAUCGAACUGAGUACCCUCCAAAGCAAAGUGGGCAUCCCAAACUCCUCUAGGAACUUGCUCUUAUGUCGCGAGCUCCUAGCUGCCAACGGACGGCGAGGGGCCCGCCCACCAGUGGACUUGCGAGCGGUGAGCCUAGUGCGUGCCAUCUGCUGCAAAUGGAAUACCGUGGGUAAGAGUGUGGAUUACCUUUAAUUAUUUUAUUUAGAAUUGGGACAGAUUAAAUUAAGGGGGAAAGUAAGCAAUGAUAUGAAAUGAACAUGAUGUAUGCACGAGCUUACGAUCUCACAAACUUAGAAACAAAGGUUAACACUAAGUGGUAUAUGCGGUGGCACACAACGUUCUCUCAUAACGUAACUAGCGUUCUAAGCGAGAACGUGGUUAGUGUACCUGCAGAAAACUCAUUUCAGCCCACCCACAAUAUGAUCAUGCAGAGCAAGAAUUUAAAACCCUGCACUUCACAUACACAGACACCCGUCCAUGCAUGUGACGUGCCACUACCCACAUCAUCGCCCUAUUGACGGCAUCGCCUCUCAGGAUGGAAUUCCCAGCAUGCGGUACUGUUCCCAAGACACACCAACAUGUGCGCAUGGCACAGCACCUGACAACACUCCCCUAGACCGGCAGUGUAUCCGAUCAUGCUCUCACAACUCCCACUUACCAUGGCGUAGAGGAAGAAUUGAUCCAUACAUUACCACUCAAAUGAAUGGCACUCAUACUAUUUGCACGCCGUAUGAGCGACGAAAUGAAAAUAUGAUGCAUUAACCCCAAGUCAGUACUUAACUAGCCACCUUAGAGUCCUUAACUGGGCAUAAAGGAUAUGACCAUGGCACACUAGAUAAUUUUCCAAAACUUAGUUUAACACCUUAAUCCUUAUUAAUUACCAAAAUCCUUCAUUAGACCGGUUUAGAUUUUGUUUAGAACGUACUUAUGAACAGUAACUCGCUAAACCUUGCUCCGAUGCCAGCUGUAACAGAACCGACCAAAUUAUAAGAGAUUAAGCCUAAUAGUGACCAUUUGCAUAGUCGAACUAUCACGCUUAAGCCCAUAUAAUCCCGGUAGUCCGUGAAAUCUCGAUGGAUUUCAAACCACACAUCACAUAACAGCCAAGAUCGUAAUAAGUUUAGCGGUCGCCAUCCACAAGUACAUCCAGAUUACAACAUUCAUAAAAUACAUCGGAGUGCUUAAAGUUAUUACAAACCAAGUUCUUCAAGUAGCGGAAGCUUCAUAGUUUGAAAUUACAACACACACGAUAAGUCUGAUACAGUGCCAUAGUUCGGUCAUUCCCACAAAAGCAAAAGAAGAGACGGAGUGACCAUCGCCCUUGGUCUAGUCAUCACCCAUAGCUGGGUACAGACAGAGGAUGCAAUAACCAUAGUACAUUUGACCAUCUGCAAAACAACAUGGGAAUAGAACCCUGAGUACGAGAAGGUACUCAGCUAGACUUACCCGUCAUAAACUUAAAAUAAAGACUCAUCAAGGAUCAUGAAGGCUAUAUAGUGGGGUAACUGACGACCAUUUUGCAAAACCGCAGUAUUUCGCUAACACAACCUACAUUAGUCUUUCUUCUUUUAGUUGGCUCAAGUUGAAAGUAUCAUUACCUAUCGUCUAGGUUUGCAUCUGCACUAUUACAAGCAAGUAGGAGACUAUGAUAGUACCUCAUCAUAGUAUUUCUUAAAACUAUUCAUCAUUAUAACCCAAGUGUUCCAUAGUCCUUACUACGAGGACAGGGCUCAUGUCAAGUGCUCACUAUCCAGGAGCGAUGGCGAUUCGAAUCGAUUUCUAACCAGCUGGCGAAUUUAUUCCCCACACAAACCACACUCACUGAUCAAGUGAGCUACAGGUCACCGUGUUGCACUAUCCAGGACCAAUUCGCGGGUUCGACAGGCACCGCCCGUACCCGAGGACCGUUCCGGCGACCGAGGUAUCCAAGGUAUACCAAGGUUGCGCGCCGCGCCCUCGUCGUUCUCCUCAACCAUCACCAAUACAGCGCGUACAUCGGGCCGAUUCCCGGCCCGGAUAGUGCUCAGGCUUCGCGGUCGGAACGACUUAUCCUUCCAGCUAAAUGUGGGGCAUGCGUUCAACAUGACAAGAGGGCCGUCAACGAUCGGUCCUUAAUCGACACAGGCAGGGGCUCUAUGGGCAACCCACCAUAAGACCCUGCCCGGUCUCCAAUUACAGUUCACACUUGGUUAUUUCUUUCCCCAAGCAACCACUGCUUAAUCAAGCAGGUAUCCACCUAUAUCUCGCAAGUGACAGGACAUCACCCGACUUCUACCGGACUAAGCAAGCUAAGCAUAGACUCCGCGCCUAUCUACAUAGGACAAGGUAGAUAAACGAGUAGGGAUAACAAGGAGUACAUAUGCAGCAACGGUAUCAGGCAACUCCUAUCACUUAAUAUGCAAUACAAUAGAACAAGUAUAACACUUUAUAUAAGUUAGCGAGAAUAGGGUGACUUAGAAUGCUCCGGGGCUUGCCUUUCUCAAAGGUGCUGGGUCGGUGAUCCGGACACUCUUGCAAUUCCUCUCCGGUUUCCUGUGCUUCCGGAGGUUCCUGCUCCUGUAUCUCCUCGGGUUCCUCGGGUCCCACUUCGUUCUCCUGCGAGCCUGUAUGAUGCAUAUAUGCUCAUGAGUGGAGUGCUAGAUGCCCGAGUGGAUGCUUGUAUGAGAAAGUACCAAAGGACCAUGACAUGAUGCAUGGAUGAUACACUUGGUCAUGUUCAUUACAAUGUAUGCAACAUCAUCCAAGAACAGGCACUUGGAUUAAGCAUCUAUUGCAUUCUCUUCUACAAUUAUUUUUCAAAUGAAAUCAGCAACCUACAUGAUGCUUCAAAGAUACACCAAACCCAACUUAGUCCAUUCAACUUACAUACACAACCAUUCAUAAUUUUCUUUAUUCAUUUCUAAGCCUAUUAAAAAUCACAUGCAAUUCUGUUCAUCAAUAAAUUCCAGAAAAAUUACAGGAGACUACUAGUUAAUCAUAAAGUCUACUGUAAAUUUUUCAUAAUUUUUGGUUACUUAUUUUGAGCCACAAAAAUCACAAGAUUAAUGGAUAAGGCAAGUAUAAUCACCCUACUGUGAUAUAAGUGUCAAACAACAGAUUUCAUAUUUUUACAAUUUAUCUAAUAUCAUAAGAAACACCCACAAAAUUUUCCAGAUUUAUUGCAUGACCCAUUUAAUUAUUAAAAAUCAUAAAGCACUGCCAUGCAAGCAUUUAAAUUACCAUAAAUUCAUUUAUACACCAAAUAAUAUGUAACAAUAUUUUCUCGGUGAUUAAACACACAUGCAGAGCCAGCAAAACAAGUUUUACAUUUUUCUGAACCCUAUUUUAUUUACUAUGCAUUUUCCAAGUUUAGGAAAAACAUGGAUUAAUUAUAUUCUUACAGGAAAGUUACUCAAACAUGACAUGCAAUCAUACUAGGCUAUAGAUCUGGAAAUAAGGAACACACCAAAAUUUAUUUCACCAUUUUUGGAGCUAUAUUCAUCAAGAUAUGGAUUUUUGAACAUUUAAAUCAUUUCCUGGAAAAACUUUUAAAACGGAAAACCACCUAAAACACUAAACGCACCCGGAUCCAUUCCCUCGGAGUCACUGACAGGCGGGACACGCGAGUCAGAGGACCCCACCUGUCAUCCACCCCGUGACCCCGCGGCCAAAGAUCGGCCGGAAUCUCGCCGCCGGUGAGGUUUCCGGCGACACCGUGAGCACCUACGGCUUCGCGCGAACGAGACGAGUCCAGCCGUACCCUCUUUGGCACCGGACGAGCACCGGAACUACCUCGCCGUCGUGAAUGGCGGACGCGGCGGCGCUGCUCGCCGUGGUCCGGCCGUUUCACGGCGGUAGAGCGUGAGCUAGUGACGGGAAAAGGUGCGCGAGGUCAAGGCGGACCCAAAGCACCUACGAGCGCAAGCAGAGACAGAGAGGAGAGGGAGAACCGCGCGAGCCGAGAGGUCGCCGGAGCUCCGACUUACUCCGGUGAGCUCUAGCGGACACGCAGGGCUUACCGAGCGCGGAAGAGCGCAAGCACGCGACGCGGAAGGACGAGGCGGAGCCGGUGGUGGUCGCGAAGGGGAAGGAGAGGGCCGGAGCUGGCCGGGAGAGGAGCUCCGAGCCGUCGGCGGCUAUGGCGUGCGGCGGAGCGGCGAGCGCUGCGCGAGAGCGAGCAGAGAGGCGAGAGCGAGCGGUGGAGGGCGCAAAUGGGAGCGGGGGCUUCGGCGGGCGCGUCCAGGGGCUCCUGGUGGCCGACCAGGGCGUCUCCACGCCGUCGCAUGCCCGCCACGCGGCGGCCAGGCUCUGCCGGCGCGCCACGGCGGCACGGCGAGGCCGUCCGCGCGCGCGGACGCGGGCGCGAGCGCGAGGAGGGGGAAGGGGAAGGCGCGGGCGGGCCAGGCCGACUUCGGCCAGCGGGCCAGAAGCGAGGCCGCGGCCUGCUAGCGCCCCCUUUCCCUUUUCUAUUUUUUUUUGAAUUUCUUUUCUCAAAUCCUCUUCCAAAAGCAUUUUGACCAUUUUCAAAUCAUUUUCACCAUUUUCACCCAAAAGCAAAGUGGUGCCAAACUAAAAGCUCUACAACUUUGCUUUAAUAGGUAAGACCAAAUUCUAAAUAGAAUUUGAAUUACAAAUUAAAACUUAGUUCUAGGUUUUUAAAUAAAGUUAUUUUGGGAUAUUUUGUAUAAAUUCCAUUUCUCAAUUUCCAUAGCUCCAAAAAUUGCACAAAAAUGUUCUUAAUUCUUCUUACACAUAAACCAACCUAGUUUGAAUAUUUCACAAUUUUUGAAGCAAGCACCACAUUUUUAACAUAUUUAAAACUUAUGAAAUGAUGCACAUAAAAUCAUAUUCUUAGAAGAAUGACAUGCUCAUGAUGCUUAUGAUUGAUGAGAGUGCUUAUGCAUGACUUUGAUGAGACUAAGUGCAUGCUUAACACCUAGGGUGUUACACUUUAGGUCGGUGGAGCAUGAUCCAAGAGUUUGGUUCUAAUUGGCCCCGAGGCCAGGGCGGGCGCCCAAGGGGGGAGGGCGGGCACCCUGCCCCCAAGCUCGUCUGGUCUCCCGUUCGUUUCCGUGGCUUCUGGACUCUUCUAGAUUAAGGAAAAUUGUGCGGCAUGUAAUUAUCUCGUUGUAAACAUGACAUGUGGGCCUUCUCUCCAUAUUUUCUGAUAACCCCCUGCAGAAAUAGAUAAACACCAAAGCUCGUGGAAUUCUGUCAUAUAAAACCCUAAUUCUAGAUGUUUGGUGCGUAUUGAUCCUUUUCCAUGUUUAGUUGAUGAUUAAAUUUAGUACUUAAGGACCGUCAACAGCUUGCUCCUAGGAUUCUUCACUAAUUCAACUUCUAAAUUCUAGUAAGUUCUUGUUUUAUUGUUCUUUGGUUUAUGAGUUUACUUUAAUCUCUUCCGGUUGAGUUUAGAGUAAUCAUUGCUAGCGUAAACGUGGUGUUUGGGCUAGGGUACUCAUAGAUAUCCUCUGACUAGCUGGACCGUGGUAGUAGCGAGGAACGUGACAUUUCUGAGUUACCUUUGCAUCCCACAUCUCGUUAGCAGGAUGGGUAGGGUUUAUAGGUGCGGGUCGAACAUCCUCUGUGGUGUCUAGAUUACGUGAGCCUCCCCAAUAGAAUAGUAGAUCAUCCUUACCAAGGUUAGAACGAGGCUACGGUCGCAGUCUUCUCUAUACAUCGCUCACAUCGAAUCACAUUCUUUGUAGCCUAAAGGGUAGUAGCAAUAGAUUUGGUUAGUCAGAUGCACGCUUUCUCCCAGUGGUAAAAAUAUAAAUACGAUAUUUUGGAUAACCUCCCGGGUGAAAUGCUCACUGAUAUCCGUGUGCUUGCGGAUCAUUUCCUGAUGGCGUUAACAAAUAUCAACAAGCAUUUCUGGCGCCGUUGCCAGGGAGAAAGACGGUUUGCUGAGAUAACUUUAAGUCUUGCUAUUAUCUUGUAUUAUACUUUUAUUCUUUUAUCUUUUUAUUUUUCCAUCUUUAUGGAUAACUUAAAUUCCACACCUAAUAAUGAAUUUUUUGCACCUUCGGAGACCAUCCAUAGACCAUGGGAGUCAACAAGUCCUUUCAUUGCCCCUAAUUAUGAUUUGUGUCCGGAGUUGAUUGCAAUAGGUCAAAACCAACCCUUUUCUAUAGCUGAGGUCCUAUCUUUGAAUCAAUAAGAUAAUGAACUUUUAGCUACACCUAGGGAAUCUGUUAAUCUUUCUAUAAAUUCUGGUUUAAACCUAGCCCUACAAGACCAUGUUUUUUCUCGAUAUUUUCACAUUGGUCUUAAUCAUAUAACCUUUGGUAGAGUCUUUCUUUCUUUAUUAGUAAAGCAAGGUACGUCUUCAUUUGUGGACAUCCUUCUUGCACUAGUCUUCAUAAAAAAUCCUAGAGAUAGAGAAGGAAUCAUCUCCUAGAUGAGGAAAGGAAGUUUCAAUAGCCGAUUUCCAAACAUUUCAACCCCAUGAUUCGGCUAUCCAACCCAAACUAGUAGUGCUCCAAAAUCAUCUAAGGGAAGAAGAAAUUCUACCUUUGGAAAUUUAUUUUGGGAUGAGCUUAAACUUCCUGCUUCAUAAGAGACCUUUGAGUGCAUAUAGUCUGAACCUUCCUAAGAAGGGAUCUCUUAGAAAGCAUCUCAAAUCCAAUCCCUUUGAUGGACAUCUAGAAAGACUCAAGGAUGGCUUCUUAAGUGAUGCAAUAGAAGGAGAGCGAAACCAUUUAGAAGACAAUCUCAUCUUCUCCCCUUCUACGUCCACUUUUGAUGACUUAUUCAAACCUAUCUUUAGACCCAUCCUUGAGCCUAAUAAUUUCUACUCUUCUCUUUCUCUUGAACCUCCCGAUGAUCUUAUGAAUCUCUCUAGACAUCCCAUGCAUAAGAGUCACCAAGACCAUAAGGAGGAUCGAGAAGAGCAACAUCAAUGGCUAGAGGGCAUUAAAACUCCAUGUGCUAUCACCAUUGAAUGGAUGGACAAGGAAGAACCCUUAAUGGAUUCUGACUUUGGGUUAAUUUCAAAUAGUGAGUUCUUGACUCCCUUUGAAAAUGAGAUUCAUCCAACUACAGAAGAGGACAUAGGCGAGACCAAUCUAGGAGAAACUCCGAACAUUCAGAUUGGAGACGAAGAUAACAUUAAUGAGCAUGGAAUUUAUUUCAUAGCCACUUCGUUUACUCCAUGCUCAUAUGCAACAUCUUCCCAAUCUAUUGGUCUCUCCAACAUCACGACAUUUAAGAUCUCCAACCCCCUCUUUCUUUCUAUUUAUAAAAACUUUAAAAGGGCGGUUGUCGAUGCAUAUGUCUAUAAUAAAUAUUGCAGAUCUCGGUGAAUUGAUCUUGAUAUAGGUCAGUGUUGGAGGGGAAACCACUUCGCCGACAUAAAUUGAUGGUUUCCCAAGGACAAGCUUAGUGUCCUAAAACAAGCACUGAUCAGAUUGUAACAUGAACUUCUAAUUAUUUGCAACAUUGCCUUGCAUAUCAAGAUAAUUGUAGAAAUAUUCCUUCGGGUAUUCUUGUCACAAACCUUUCUAGGAUUGGAGCAAGAAGAUCGGAUGAAUGACAAGCACAAGGUAUGUCCAACCAACCAUCAUACAACAUUGAAUUAAAUUCAUCCAAACUUGAAUUUUACAAAAUUCAAUCUUGGGGGAGUACUUCACAUGAAAACAUCCUUUGCCAAGUUGCUAUGUUGGUUGUCCCUACCUUUGAGGCAUGCUUGAUUUGUUAAGUACUAGUCACACUACUUCAUCUCCACUUGAGGAGAUCUCUAUAAAAGCCAUCAUGCUACCUAUGUUUAUCCUAGUAAGUGUUGGUUUGGAAGUACUGGACAUACUUCCAUUGGUAUUUAAAUUAAGCAUGGUGCUUAGGUUAAAUAGCCUUCCUUAAUCUGAUUAGACAUGGAGUCUAGUUUGGUUACUGAACUAAAAACUGCUUGAGUAGGCAUUAGUAUAUUUUGUCGGACUAACCCCUCCAUGAAAACUUUCAAUAUCAGCCUAGGAAGUCCUGAGAUACAAACUCACAUUGGAGACAAAGGAGACACAUAAAGUUUAACGAUUUGCACAAGGAAGACAUAGCUCAUUCAUCAUAGAGAGAUGAUCCAUGGAACAAGACAAAGAGUGCCACAAACACUAUACGCACCCAUUACGAAUGGGAAGUUUCCACAAGGUGAGAUGGUACCAUCACUCUUCAAUUAAGGUAACAUCUUAAAGUACUUGACUUUCCCUUUUAUAAGCUUCUCCUUGGUUCUGGCGUUCACAUAAAAUAAAGAGACAAACAUGUAUGAUUUGUAACUCCAAAUUAACCAACCCAAUUAAUUCAGCAUGUUUAGUCCUUUAAUCUUUGUUUCUAGUAGUACCUCCAUGUUCCUACACUCCUAAUCAUAUAAGCUAAAAUGUUGUACAUUCAAUCUUUCGAAGAUAUAAGCAAAACAUAAAUAUAGAUAGAUUAUCUUUCCAUUAGGUCAAGCAAUCUGAUCUGACAAAUGUUUUAAAUGCUACACUCAUGAUCUUAUUAUCCAUCAACUUUGUCUUGCUCACUAUGUUUAAGGUUAGAGAAGAACAAAUACACUUUUGGUUCUGUUGGUGUUUUUCACCAACAGGGCCCAUGCACUUGAUCUCUGCCUUAUCUCUAUGAGCAGGUACACUUCGAGCAAAACCUGAAGGAGUUUUACAACUCCUAGACUCCACCAAGUGAAGGGCUUGGAUCUACGAGCACAAACACACUGGAGAUACUGGAUACUCAGGCAAUCACUGCCCUGAGAUGUUCAAGGACAUAAACUACAUCAAUAACAACACACAACCACUACUACUACAACCGUCCUCAACAAAAUCAAGGUUGGAAUCAACAGAGGCCUAACUACUCAGAGAGGCGAUCCAGGACGCCCCGUCAUCCUGAUUUCCAUCGGCAUGGUGGACUUCACAGAAGCACUCUGCGACUUUGGCUCCAGCGUCAACAUUAUACCUAGGGUUGCAGAUCGGACACUAAGUUUCCCAAAGGGAAUAUUGAAGAACCUCUUCAUCCGAGGAGGUUAUUCCUGAACACCUCGGGAGCUGUCAUCCACACUAGUGCUGCCAAGAUCAGUUCCUACAUUAAGGGGAAGAAGGAGACAUUUACUUUCAAGAACAAGACUACAUAAAUCUCAGAGCAAUCCUGACAUGAACCAAGGAAGAGGACCAACAGGAGGAACAGGAACAAGCAAAUGUGGACUGAGUCAGCUAAGAUGGUCACUGCAGCCCAAGGAGGUUAGGAUCGUCGACUUAAGUCACCGUUCCUGACCAAAAAGGAUGACCUAGGUCAUUGACAUGGGAGAAGAUGAGUACGAUCCACCCAUCAUCCUUGAGGGACCGUUCCUCCGCACCGUUAAAGCAAUCAUCUAUAUUGGAACCGGAGAAGUCCACAUGCACUUCCCCUCUAAGAAGGUACGCCGCUAUUUUACUGACCUUAACUAUAUAGUUGAAGACUCUAAGCAGGUCAGGACAAGAAGAAGACGAGGCAACCGCAACCAGAGGAGGCAAAUCAUCAAGGACGGAUGGGCAGACUACGAAGGAAAAGUGGUAAGGUCUGAAGACAUAUAGCUUGAACAGAACUAUCUUGAGGAGACCAUAGCACCGAGUUAGGUGUGGAGAGAGAAGAUAGUUAUACACGAAGAGGAGGCGCCGCCGGAACCACCGACUACGCCAUCCAGCGAAUCCCAAGACGACUGAGAAAACGGAGAGUCCCGUUUGGAGGACUUAAAAACACUGAACGCCUUGCCAAGAGGUAAACUUGGUAGUUAUCCUCUUCCCUUCAAUUAUUUAAAAUAGUUUGCUUAGUUAAUCAGGUUCAUAUCAUCUCGAAAAGAAAAUAAAAAUAUUAAAAAUAGUAAGCACCAUGUGAGUAUGCUCAUGGCAUAAAACCCAUAAGUACAUUCACUAUGGUGGCAUAAAAAUAUUCCUAUCCUAUAAAAAUGAGAAUAUAAAAAUAAAUUUAUGAUCCUACCAAAGAAAGUAAUAUUUAUUAGAGGAAGCUCAAUAAGAUAAAGGCAAAGAGAUUUUAUGCUAACACUUAACCAGUUCCACGAAGCUUUGUUGUCUAUUUGAGCUCCACAGAAUUCAAGGAUCAAAGAAGACUAGCAGACAGAGGACAUCCUAAUCACUGUCAGGGUGCUGCCGACAUUCAAAUACACCUCCGCCACCUGCUAGCUACAUCAGAAAAAAUUACGUCAAAAUCUAGCUUGGGGAGAGCACCCCCAUUUAUCCAGCUAAGUGUUUCUACUCGCAUUUAUGCUUUACUCAAAUAAUAAAAAGAUGCAUAAUCAUGAAAACCCAAAUAAAAAUUUUGUGCUUAUAUAUAUCUUUGCUUAGUUUGCUAAAUAAAUAAAUAAAGUGUCUAGGCCAAACUAAACUUAAAUGAUAAACUCUUACACGGAUAUGAUAAAUAGUUGCUCUGCCAUGUACCUAGUUUUUAAGUUUGAGCUUUCUCUCAAGUUUAGGCAUAACUGUUAUAAUUUAAACCUGCUCUAAACCUGAACUUGUGGGAAAAGUACUUGAUCUGAAGUCUAAGUCAUUAACGGAUAUGAUAUGGGAAGGUUGAGCUAUUGUUUAUCUGUUGCUAGAGAUGCUAGAAUUAUGGAGAAUUUUAUCUUUGAAAAGUCUUUAGAAUAACACAUGACGAGCUCCUGUAUGAUGAGAGUAUAAAUUCCUACCACAGCCAUAUAUACAUGCUUGCUAGACUUCGAGCCACACAUUUACUUUUUACUAGUUAUGAGCAUUGAGUGUGGUCAAGUUGUGUAGACCCUUAGGAGCUUGUCAUGCGGUUAAAAUCAAGAUCCACUUGCACAUUCACUCAUACAUGCUGCUUCUACUCCGGAAGUACGCAUCCACAUAUAUCCACUCAUUUCCAUCUCCAGAGCCACCAAAAAGUAUUCUACUCCUAAUUCGGGAGAGAAUAGCCAAAAACAUUAUCCUAUCCCUAUUAUUCCUUGUGGAAUAAAUGCUCGAGAUAUUUUGGUUACUACCACUUGCUAUAUUAUUUGAGAUGAGUGCUCUAAAAAAAGAGAAGAAAAAAAAGAGAAAGAGAAAGGAUACGAGGAAAUAAAAAGGGGCAAGUGCCCGGAACCUCGAAGAAAAGAAAAAGUGAGACGAGAGGUAAAAAUGGACAAGUAUCCGACAGUAGAAUUAGGGGUACAGAUACCCACCUGAGAGAAAAGAAAAAAAGAAAAUAUAGAGCAUCUCAUUCUCCUCAAAAAGCUUCAAAGUGCAAGAAAGGUAUGUAUCCCCUUAAAAGAGCAAAAGUAGAAUUAGACUUUCACCAUUGUUAUCACAAUCAUCACCAUACACCAUUCAUUCGCCACACAUGCACAUCAUGAUUUGACUUAUUGACUUGUUCUUCUGGAUCCAUGGUUUGACUAUGCAAUAAAUGUCUUGUAAGUAUGUAUUAUCUGUCUCCCACCUAUGAGCUCCAGAUAUCAAAACCUUAUUAGAGCAGGGUGAGAGAGAAGGCAAUAUCACUAUGCCUCACAACAGAAAUACCACAAAAGAGAGAUUUGAGAGAGUCCUACAAGUAAUCUCUGAGUUUUAUUUGAAAAUCUGCAAAAACUCCAGAGCUAUAGCUGAUCAAGAAUACGAGACAUGGCGCUUGACUUGACUUUUCUAUCUUUUAACUGCUCAAGACACAAGUGACGGUUACAAGCCCCAUGGUGAAAGGUAAAAUGAGUAAGUUUUAAGUCUUAACAGUUUACUCUAAAUCAGAGAUGAGAUUUUGCUUGAACGCAUGUGUACUUUUAAGGCAUGAAAUUACUGCAGAAACUCUUGAGUCCAUCCUUGCUCAGGGACGAGGAAGAGGUAAGCUUGGGGGAGUUGUUGACGGUCCUUAAGUACCAAAUAUAAUCAUCAAAUAAAUAAAUAAAAGGAUCCAAAUGCAACCAACACCUAAACUUAGGGUUUUAUCUGACAGAAUUUCAUGAGUUUUGGUGUUUGUCUAUUUCUUCAGGGGGUUAUCAGAAAAUAUGGAAGAAACGCCCACACGUCAGGUUUACAUAGAGAUAUUAACAUGCCACGCAAUUUUCUAUCAUCUAGAAGACUCCAGAAGCCACGAGAACGAACGGGAAGGUGAUCGGGCUCGGGGGCAGGGCGCCUGCCCUCCCCCUAGGGCGCCCGCCCUGAGGUAGAGACCAAUCAGGUCCCGUCUCGCGGAUUACGCUCCACCGACCUAAAGGAUCAAGGAUAACCGUUCAAUCAAUGUUGGUUUGAUCCGACGGCCCAGAUUCACUUGAGGGGAGUAUAUAAGCAGACCCCCAGGCCCCUGGAGGAGAACAAGUUCAUCAUAGAGUUGAGAGGUGCCUCGAAGGAUAACCUUUCCUCUAAAUAGACUUAGGGCUUAGCAUCCAAUGUGAGAGUAGACUAGAUCUAAUAGAUUGAGAGAGAUAGAGUGGAGGUGU
rnacentral:lncRNA from 1 species